GCUGGGCAUGGUGGUGCACACCAGUAAUCUCAGCUACUCCAGAGGUUGAGACAGGAGGAUUGCAAGUUCAAGGCCAGCUUUGGUAAUGUAGUGAGACCCUGUCUCAA
rnacentral:sRNA from 1 species